CGUGGAGGAUGACAGCCCAUGGGUCGUAAACUCCUUUUCUUAGAGAAGAAAUUUUGACGGUAUCUGAGGAAUAAGCAUCGGCUAACUCCGUGC
rnacentral:rRNA from 1 species